AUAAAGGCUCUUUUAAGAGCCAAACACAUAUUUCAAAAAGAGUCU
rnacentral:ncRNA from 1 species